rnacentral:rRNA from 1 species
UCCUACGGGAGGCAGCAGUGGGGAAUUUUGGACAAUGGGCGAAAGCCUGAUCCAGCAAUGCCGCGUGUGUGAAGAAGGCCUUCGGGUUGUAAAGCACUUUUGUCCGGAAAGAAAUGGCUCUGGUUAAUACCUGGGGUCGAUGACGGUACCGGAAGAAUAAGGACCGGCUAACUACGUGCCAGCAGCCGCGGUAAUACGUAGGGUCCAAGCGUUAAUCGGAAUUACUGGGCGUAAAGCGUGCGCAGGCGGUUGUGCAAGACCGAUGUGAAAUCCCCGAGCUUAACUUGGGAAUUGCAUUGGUGACUGCACGGCUAGAGUGUGUCAGAGGGGGGUAGAAUUCCACGUGUAGCAGUGAAAUGCGUAGAGAUGUGGAGGAAUACCGAUGGCGAAGGCAGCCCCCUGGGAUAACACUGACGCUCAUGCACGAAAGCGUGGGGAGCAAACAGGAUUAGAUACCCUGGUAGUCCACGCCCUAAACGAUGUCAACUAGUUGUUGGGGAUUCAUUUCCUUAGUAACGUAGCUAACGCGUGAAGUUGACCGCCUGGGGAGUACGGUCGCAAGAUUGAAACUCAA